GACUCGUUGGUUUAGGGGUAUGAUUCUUGCUUUGGGUGCGAGAGGUCCUGGGUUCAAAUCCCGGAUGAGCUCA
rnacentral:tRNA from 1 species